GACGAACGCUGGCGGCGUGCCUAAUACAUGCAAGUAGAACGCUGAAGGAGGAGCUUGCUCUUCUGGAUGAGUUGCGAACGGGUGAGUAACGCGUAGGUAACCUGCCUGGUAGCGGGGGAUAACUAUUGGAAACGAUAGCUAAUACCGCAUAAGAGUAGAUGUUGCAUGACAUUUACUUAAAAGGUGCAAUUGCAUCACUACCAGAUGGACCUGCGUUGUAUUAGCUAGUUGGUGGGGUAACGGCUUACCAAGGCGACGAUACAUAGCCGACCUGAGAGGGGGAUCGGCCACACUGGGACUGAGACACGGCCCAGACUCCUACGGGAGGCAGCAGUAGGGAAUCUUCGGCAAUGGACGGAAGUCUGACCGAGCAACGCCGCGUGAGUGAAGAAGGUUUUCGGAUCGUAAAGCUCUGUUGUAAGAGAAGAACGAGUGUGAGAGUGGAAAGUUCACACUGUGACGGUAUCUUACCAGAAAGAGACGGCUAACUACGUG
rnacentral:rRNA from 1 species